rnacentral:tRNA from 1 species
GGUGGGUUGGCUCAGUGGUUAGAGCUUAGGUCUCUUAACGGAAAGUUCACGGGAUCGAAUCCCGCUACAGUCUG